CUAGCCCUUCAACAGAGACUGUCCUAAUGUUGUCAUAAAACCCACAGGCACUGGUGGCUUGUUCUAGAAUGAUCCCGCUUGAGCCUCAUAACAACCCUAUGAAGAAGUGAUACUCUCUCUCAGAAUAUAAGGACAGGCUCACCGUGGCUGCCCUGUACAAAUGGCAUGAGGCGUCUCUGGACAUCCUUCCACCACGGCCGCACCCACAGGCUAGGGGUCUAAUAGA